CGUACGGGUGAGUAACACGUGGAUCAUCUACCUUUUAGUGGGGAAUACCGCUGGGAAACCGGCGACAAUACCGCAUAAGCCCGAGAGGGGAAAGCAGCAAUGCGCUAGAAGAGGAGUCCGCGGCUGAUUAGCUAGUUGGUGAGGUAAGAGCUCACCAAGGCAACGAUCAGUGGCCGGCCUGAGAGGGCACACGGCCACACUGGCACUGAAACACGGGCCAG
rnacentral:rRNA from 1 species